UUUCCGUAGGUGAACCUGCGGAAGGAUCAUUAAAAAAUAUCACACGUUUUAUGUGUGAUUUAAUAAUCAUCCUACCCUUUGUGAAUUUGUUUUGUUUUGAAAUUUAUGUGUCUAUCCCUGAGGUUUGGAAAAGUUGAAAAACUUUUUCGAAUCAGGGACUAGGCUUUCAUAGACCUUUUUUAAAUUAAACUUUUUGUAUUCAUUUGUCUAAAUUUAUUUUUAAUAAUUUAAAAACAACUUUUGACAAUGGAUCUCUUGGUUCUCGCACGAUGAAGAACGCAGCAAAAUGCGAUAAGUAAUGUGAAUUGCAGAAUACGUGAAUCAUCAAAUCUUCGAACGCAUAUUGCACUUUUUUAGUUUACUAAAAAAGUAUGUCUGUUUGAGUAUCAGUAAAAUAUUCUCAUAAAAAACAUUGUUUUUUAUGGUUAUGAGUGUUCUACAACGAUAACAAGUUGUUUCACUUUAAAUUGAUUUUUAAAAAGCCAAUUUGGUUUUAUUCUAAAAUUGGAUAAAAUUUUCCCGUAAAAAGGAAUAAACUUUUCAGUUUUAAAGAUAAACUUUAAUUGGACUUAAUUAAAAGGAAAUUUACUAAAUAACUUGAUCUCAAAUCAGAUAAGAGUACCCGCUGAACUUAAGCAUAUCAAUAAGCGGAGGAAAAGAAACUAACAAGGAUUCCCUUAGUAACGGCGAGUGAAGCGGGAAGAGCUCAAAUUUGAAAUCUUCAAGGUUCUACCUUGACGAAUUGUAGUUUAUAGAAGUGUUUUCUGUUAGUGGAGUGGCAAAAGUUCUUUGGAAUAGGACAUCAUAGAGGGUGAGAAUCCCGUAUUUGGUCAUUCUCUAGCGUUGUGAUACACUUUCAACGAGUCGGAUUGUUUGGGAAUGCAGUCCAAAAUGGGUGGUAAAUUUCAUCUAAAGCUAAAUAUUGGCGAGAGACCGAUAGCGAACAAGUACCGUGAGGGAAAGAUGAAAAGAACUUUGAAAAGAGAGUUAAACAGUACGUGAAAUUGUCAAAAGGGAAGCGUUUGACACCAGUGUUGUUUUUCCGAAAAUCAAUUACGAAUGUUUUAUUUUUGAGAGUUAUGACUUCAUCGGCUUGCUCUUCUUUAUGAAACUUUCUUAAUGCACUUUCGGUUAACAAGUCAACAUCAAUUUCUUUUGUUGUAAAAGGGUAUGAGGAAGGUGGCUUUCUUUUCGGAGAAAGUGUUUAUAGCCUUGUGCCUCUGCAAUCGGAGAGAUUGAGGUCUGCAGCGUAGAUCCUUCGGGUUAGAUACAUUUGUGCUAAGUUAUAGUUUUCAUAGACAACAUUGUUGACUAUGAUUAAUCUUGUAGCUUACUCGCUUAUGCUAUUUUACCUACGCUUAGGAUGUUG
rnacentral:misc_RNA from 1 species